rnacentral:siRNA from 1 species
UUUCGUGAUUUGUGCUAUAUUAC